rnacentral:rRNA from 1 species
UUCCCCAUCCCGAACAGCAGCUUUGACAGCACGGAAGACUGGUGGCUGGCGGCAAGGAGGACAAUUCCCAAGCAAGCGCGACGGAACUUUGACACUAUUGCCAUUCUCAUCCAUUGAAGGAUCUGGAAGGAAAGGAAUGCGAGAAUUUUUCAGCAUACUGCUUGUAAUAUGGAGAGGGCCCUAGAUCUUAUCAGAGAAGACAUUGGAAUGUCGAGAUCAGCAGGAUGUGUGACUGAUUUAGUUAAUUAG